CAGUCGCCGCGGGAAUACGUAGGUGGCAAGCGUUGUCCGGAAUUAUUGGGCGUAAAGGGCUCGUAGGCGGUUUCUUAAGUCUGAUGUGAAAGCCCCCGGCUCAACCGGGGAGGGUCAUUGGAAACUGGGAAACUUGAGUGCAGAAGAGGAGAGUGGAAUUCCACGUGUAGCGGUGAAAUGCGUAGAGAUGAGGAGGAACACCAGUGGCGAAGGCGACUCUCUGGUCUGUAACUGACGCUGAGGAGCGAAAGCGUGGGGAGCGAACAGGAUUAGAUACCCCGGUAGUCCCUGUCUCUUAUAA
rnacentral:rRNA from 1 species